UACGUAGGGGGCAAGCGUUGUCCGGAUUUAUUGGGCGUAAAGAGCGUGUAGGCGGCCUGGUAGGUCUGCUGUGAAAACUCGAGGCUCAACCUCGAGAUGUCGGCGGAAACCAUCUGGCUAGAGUCCGGAAGAGGAGAGUGGAAUUCCUGGUGUAGCGGUGAAAUGCGUAGAUAUCGUAAGGAAGACCAGUGGCGAAGGCGGGUCUCUGGACAGUUCCUGACGCUGAGGCACGAAGGCCAGGGGAGCAAACGGG
rnacentral:rRNA from 1 species